rnacentral:lncRNA from 1 species
GGCCGCGCUGGCCGGGCUCCGCCUCCCGCCGGCGGUCAGAGACGCCCCCCACGGUCAGCGCUGGGAGGGGGAGGGGGUGACCUGCAGGAAAUGCCGGGCCGGGUUGCCGAGCUUCAGCCCGGAGCCCCUCCUCAGCAAUGCCAGCCGCUUCUGCUGGCGUCAGGAUGCUGCCUUUUCUGGUGUAAGCUGCAACUCCUCCUGGAAGCGAAAGCUCCGGCGGGAUUUCCUCUCCACGGAGGGUGUAUGUGAGGUCUGAACUGCCCCCAGAGCUGUACUGCAGGCACCUGUCAAGAUCCAUGUCAGUACUAGAGAUGCAAAGAUAAUAUAGACAUAAGGCUUAUAUUCUUCUGGAGGACAUGCAAUCAUGAAAUGUGCGGCUAUAUCAUGGGAUGGUCAAUGCUAUUCUAGAGGGUUCUCUGUUGGAUGGAGAAAUGGCUACAGCAGAAGUCAAAGCAGUCUUCUGUGGGUGAACAUGCUGACUUUUCCAAAGCAGGGCCAGCUUCUGGGUGGAGAUUCUGAGCAGUGGGUGGCUAUACCUUCUUCCACCUCCUCUUUGGUGUUACUAAGAAGGAUUUGGAUUUUUUAUGGGGGCAGGUUGGAAAUUGUUGCCUCCAGUACAUAGUCUGACAGUCUCUCUGUGGGGAAAAGACCUCUUCGAUCUGAGUCCUAGAAAAUCUUUUAGUUACCAUAUCCCUUUUGAAAAAAUUUUCGUAAGAUACAUGUAACAUAGAAGUUACCAUUUCAGCUCUUUUAAGUGUAUCAUUCAAUAGUGUUAAUUACAUCCACAUUAUUGUGCUACCAUCUUCAGACCUCUUUUCUUCUUGCAAUAGAUACCUCAUUCCCAUUAAACCACACUUCUUCUGCAGCCCCCAGUCCCUGACAACCACCCUCUAGUUUUGUCUGUCUGAAUUUGCCUCCUCUAGGUCCC